rnacentral:tRNA from 1 species
UAGCUCAGCGGUAGAGCAUUCGACUGUUAAUCGAAUGGUCGCUGGUUCGAAUCCAGC